rnacentral:rRNA from 1 species
GGCGGCGUGCCUAACACAUGCAAGUCGAACGCGAAAGUCCCGCAAGGGAUGAGUAGAGUGGCAAACGGGUGAGUAACACGUGGGUGACCUGCCUUCGAGUGGGGGAUAACGUCCCGAAAGGGACGCUAAUACCGCAUAACAUCCUGCCUUUGAAGAGGUGGAGAUCAAAGCUGGGGAUCGCAAGACCUAGCGCUGGAAGAGGGGCCCGCGUCUGAUUAGCUAGUUGGUGGGGUAAUGGCUCACCAAGGCAACGAUCAGUAUCCGGCCUGAGAGGGCGGACGGACACACUGGGACUGAGACACGGCCCAGACUCCUACGGGAGGCAGCAGUGGGGAAUUGUUCGCAAUGGGCGCAAGCCUGACGACGCAACGCCGCGUGGAGGAUGAAGACCUUCGGGUCGUAAACUCCUUUCGAUCGAGACGAAUGGCUCCCGGACGAAUAAUUCGGGAGAGUGA